UACGGAAGUGCAGGGAUCUGCAUCCACCUAUUUGAGACCUGCCGGGAGAGGCUGCAGUGCCGCGGGCACCAAACCGGAGGCAACCCAUGAUGCCCUGACUUAAGCCACCUAUGCUUCUCCUCUCAAUUGUUCGUCUUCUAGAUCUAUCAACAAACACGAACCAAGUGGGGUACAGCACACACCCCAAUUUGUACAAAAAAAUUACCACCUACAGUGUCACAAUACAUGUAUGAGUUAGAGAUAAUAAUCUAACACUACAGUUUAAUUUCACCAACAGUGUCGCACAAUAUGUGUAUGAGAUGAGUAUGAAAAAAUAUACUGUGUUACUGUGGUACCACCUUCACCCACAGUGUCACACAACAUGAGUAUGAGUCAGGAAUACAGUAGUAAUAAACUACUGCGGUUUAAUUUCGCCAACAGUGUCGCACAAUAUGUUUAUGAGAUGAGUACGAACAAAUAUAUUAUAGUGGUGCCACCUUCACCCACAGUGUCGCACAAUAUGUGUAUGUGUCAGGAAUAGUAAUCAAAAAACUGUUGAUUAAUUUCACCAACAUUGUCGCACAAUAUGUGUAAGAGAUGAGUACAAAAAAAAUAAAUUAUAUUUUACGUU